rnacentral:snRNA from 1 species
AUGCUGACCUGGCAGGGGAGAUACCAUGAUCACAAAGAUGGUUUUCCCAGGGUGAGGCCCAUCCAUUGCACUCAGAAUGUGCAGACCCCUGCAAUUUUCCCAAAGGUGGGAAGCUUAUAAUGGCAUCAUUUGCAGUACUGGGGGACUCUCCAU